UUGACUAAGGAAUUCAUUUCACUGCA
rnacentral:piRNA from 1 species